GAUGAACGCUGGCGGCGUGCCUAAUACAUGCAAGUCGAGCGAACGGACGAGAAGCUUGCUUCUCUGAUGUUAGCGGCGGACGGGUGAGUAACGCGUGGAUAACCUACCUAUAAGACUGGGAUAACUUCGGGAAACCGGAGCUAAUACCGGAUAAUAUUUUGAACCGCAUGGUUCAAAAGUGAAAGGCGGUCUUGCUGUCACUUAUAGAUGGAUCCGCGCUGCAUUAGCUAGUUGGUAAGGUAACGGCUUACCAAGGCAACGAUGCAUAGCCGACCUGAGAGGGUGAUCAGCCACACUGGAACUGAGACACGGUCCAGACUCCUACGGGAGGCAGCAGUAGGGAAUCUUCCGCAAAGGGCGAAAGCCUGACGGAGCAACGCCGCGUGAGUGAUGAAGGUCUUCGGAUCGUAAAACUCUGUUAUUAGGGAAGAACAUAUGUGUAAGUAACUGUGCACAUCUUGACGGUACCUAAUCAGAAAGCCACGGCUAACUACGUG
rnacentral:rRNA from 1 species